rnacentral:misc_RNA from 1 species
GUAAAGCAUCACGGUUAUGGCAUUGACCCUUUACCUUUCUUCCCUUCUUCUUCUCCCUCCCCUCUUCCUCUUUCUCUAGACGCCUGUGACCCGUCAAAUUUUCUCUCUUUCCUCCCCUUUCUUUUCCUUUCUUACCAAUCUAGUUUUUAUUAUUAUUUUUUUCUAUGUCAACAAACAACUUCUACAAGAUAUCUUAACAGAACUUGAAAUUAAAGAAAAGUAAAUAAAGAAACAGGUACAGAACCAGACCUUGUUCUUCCCCUUUGGAUCUGCUGCAUUUCAAUUAUUACACACACGAGAGAGAGAGAGAGAGA